rnacentral:rRNA from 1 species
UACGUAGGGUGCAAGCGUUGUCCGGAAUUAUUGGGCGUAAAGAGCUUGUAGGCGGUUUGUCGCGUCUGCCGUGAAAAUUCGAGGCUCAACCUCGAACUUGCGGUGGGUACGGGCAGACUAGAGUGUGGUAGGGGGAGACUGGAAUUCCUGGUGUAGCGGUGAAAUGCGCAGAUAUCAGGAGGAACACCGAUGGCGAAGGCGGGGUCUCUGGGCAGUAACUGACGCUGAGGAGCGAAAGCGUGGGGAGCGAACAGG